rnacentral:rRNA from 1 species
UCCGGUGGCAAUGGCGGAGGGGAUACACCUGGUCCCAUUCCGAACCCAGAAGUUAAGCCCUCCUGCGCCGAUGGUACUUACCUGGAGACGGGUUGGGAGAGUAGGUCGCCGCCGGGA